rnacentral:rRNA from 1 species
UACGUAGGGUGCGAGCGUUAAUCGGAAUUACUGGGCGUAAAGGGUGCGUAGGCGGAAUUACAAGUUAGAUGUGAAAUACCUGAGCUUAACUUAGGAGGUGCAUUUAAGACUGUAGAUCUAGAGUUAGUAAGAGGAUGGGGGAAUUCCGAGUGUAGCAGUGAAAUGCGUAGAGAUUCGGAGGAAUACCGGUGGCGAAGGCGCCCAUCUGGGAUAUAACUGACGCUGAGGCACGAAAGCGUGGGGAGCAAAC